UACGAAGGGGGCGAGCGUUGUUCGGAAUUACUGGGCGUAAAGGGCGCGCAGGCGGCCCUUGAAGUCAGGCGUAAAAGCCCCGGGCUCAACCUGGGAGGUGCGCUUGAUACUCGAGGGCUUGAGUGCGGGAGAGGAGAGUGGAAUUCCCAGUGUAGAGGUGAAAUUCGUAGAUAUUGGGAAGAACACCGGUGGCGAAGGCGGCUCUCUGGACCGUAACUGACGCUGAGGCGCGAAAGCGUGGGGAGCAAACGGG
rnacentral:rRNA from 1 species